CCUUUUAUUGGCCGGCUUCAGCUUCCUCGGCGCGCGCGCGGCCGCUUGGAAAGGGAACGCGGCGCGGCGCGGCAUGUUCGCCCCGCUGAGGUGGCUCCGCGAGGGGCCCCGUCACGUGCUGGUGUGCGAGGGGAGCCACGUGCGGCACGAGCGGUCCCGCCACGCGACCCGCGUGCGAGAUCACGCCUUCAACUGCCAGGUGUCUUUUUUUAUCCCUGACUGUGGAGCAGUUCCAGAAGCACUAAAAAAUACAGUUGCAGAUAUUGGGCAGUACUACUUGGUGAAGAAUUUGUCACUUCAUGAAUUAGUUACGCAGGAAUUUAUUAACACAUUUGUGAAGAAAGGUUCAUGUUAUGCUCUUACGUAUAAAACAAGGAUUGACCAAGACAAUACAGCUGCUUUGCUACCAACAGGCAAAUUAAUUAUAUCAGUAGACAAGGAUACUUAUGAAGAGCUUGGACUGCAAGGCCGUCCUUCUCUGUAUUCUGGUAAAAAGCCGAUGAGAUACAUUAUUACUGUUGACUUGACUGAUUCAACCUUCAGUCCUGAUAGUAAGAAAUACAACAGAGUGAUCUGGGCCUUGAAGGAAAAAAUGCCACUAGAGUUUGAUUUCUUGAUGGCUUGGCACCAAACAGGAUCAGAAGAAUCAAGUUUGAUGUCAUACUUUUCCAAAAACCAAAUACAGGCCCUUCAGCCAAAAAUAACAUUCAGCACAUUAAGAAAUGUGCAGUGUCCAGUUCUGGAAAGCAAUAAAUUGGAAGGAGAGCCAGAAACAGCAUGCAGUGCUCAGGAAUUAUUUGAAUGGCUAGGUGCCAUUUUCACUCACACUGACUUAGAAAAUACAUCUUCUAGUUUCUUAUCAACAUAUUCAUGUCCUCAACCGAGCACAACAGUAGAACAAGCUUUGUUGUGUACAAUAACAGGCUUUAUACUUCCAGAGAAGAUAAUUCAUUUGUUUGAACAAAUAUGUUCCUAUUUUGAAGAACCAAAGUUGGCUCACUGGAUAUCUCUCAUUGUUCAUGGCUUUGCUGACAGCCCUGUUUCCUGGAAAGAAAGUGAACAUGGUUUCCUAAAAGGCGGGGAGAAUUUAUACAACUUCGUAAUUUUUAGGAGCUUGGACUACUGGCUUCAAAUGGCAGUUGGAGCAUAUGAUGAUUGUCCUUAAAUAAUGACUACUGAAGGCAUUCAAAGACACAGACACAUUGAUUACAUCUCCAGCCACGGCAGGAGGGAAGAAAGACAUGCACCCUUCCACAUGGAGACCCAGGGCUGUAACUCUAUUGCUGCAUAAAGCAAAUCAUACAGCAAGAUCUGAAAGAGCAUUUGAGACAUUCUGUUAUGUCAGUUUUCAAGUGAGAGGUCAUAUUUCAUUAAUUUGCAUUUUCCUUUCUCCUUUGAAAAUGGGCAAGGGAAUCAAUCUGACAUUCAAAUGGGAAACCUAGAAGUGUGCCCUAAACAAAUCUGCCAGGCUUCAUUCCAGAAUCUCUAGUGUCCAGUGGAAUCAAAACAUUUACAAGGCCUAAGAGUCAACGCAAGUGAAGUUCGUAGCUGAGACUGAACUUUCCACUUGACACCGAUGGAAAGAACUAAUCCUGUUAUAUCUACACUGAAUCAUCUAAGAGAACAGCAGCAGCUGCCUCACUGCUGAACAGGAUUUGGAUCUGGUGUAACUACACUGGCUUAACUUACACCAGCUUGCUUUAUGCAGGCUUCCUGUGCAUACAAUUGCUCCCCAAAUGCCUUAACUGUGCUGCAACCCAGGUGUGUGUUUAAGAAUUAUGACAGAAAAAUAGUAUUUUCAGUAAUGAUUAUGUAACUCAGGAAAAAAACCAAAUAAUGUUUGUUGCAUCUCUGACUCUGGUUCAUUAAUAAGAAGCUCAACCUAUGCAUAGCGUAGCCAAGAGGGUUGCAUUGAAUACUAUUUUUUAUUAUGUAAGUAGGACUUAUGCAGGGUGGAACCCUGUAGAUUUAACCCUAAAUAUUUCUUUGAUGUGAUGGCAGGGUGGUGGGGGGUUGGUUAUUUUUGGUCUGUCUUAUCCAAGCAAAUAUAAACAGAAACAAAACACCGCUAUGGACACUCUGUUCAAAUAUCAAAGCAGUUUAGAACAAGAUAUUUUUGGCUAGCUCACUCAGCACAACUGUGAUCCUUACUCUAAAAUUUAAGACUAAAAUAAAGCUGCCGGGGUUCACUUUCCAAAUUUAUGUAAAAAUUCCCACAACAUGUCAAAUAGCUUAUUUAAAAGCUGUAUUACAAGUGUGGACAGCUUUCAGGUGGACAUUAGGAUAGUUAAAUGUUCAUGGGAUCAGUUCACACUCACUUCCCCCUCCAAACAAGCUGUCCCAUGAUAUAGUUGGGCACAUAUUUCAUAUAACUACAGUACGAACAAGACUUUAUGCAGAUACAACAGCUAUUCUUGCAUUCAUGGCCCCUGAGAAAAAUGCUGGCAUAAUUACGGAAACUGCUUCUACCUGCAUAUUUUAAAAUUUUAUUUAAUUAUUGUUUGAUUUUAUACCAAUCUUAUAUAUCUGAUGUUAGCUGCCCUGAGCCUGACUUUGGCUGGGGAGGGCGGGAUAUAAAUAAAAGUUUGUUGUUGUUGUUGUUGUUAUUUGCACACAGCCCAAUUGGCUUCCCCAUGUUUUGGGGCGUAUUCAGGGCUUGGGAGGGCUCAGCACUGCUCAGACACUGAGAAAAUUCACUAUGCGAAGUGUUCCUUAGCCACUAUAAUAACUACAAAUCACUUAUUCAGCCUUAAGUGAAAUAAGGUAAAAGAAACUUACAACUGAAUUACAUGUGACAAGUUCCUUAAUUCGAACCAUGACUUCUUGUGUGAAUGUUCCUGGCCAAAAAACUUGCGACACCAGUCCCUUGGCACAUGCUUCUUGUGCAGUCAGUUUCCUUCCACUGAAUAACAUUUCAUUCGCCUGAGGAAAAUAGCAAUGUUUUUUGUAACAUGAAAUAUGACGAGGUUAUCAAAACAUUUUGAAUACAAACCUUGCUGUUUCUAGAAAUGCCUCUACAGGUUGGAACAAUUUACUGGCCUGGACUAUUUCUUCUUGUUUUGUUUUUCCUUUUCCAUGGACUGAAACAAAAUCAAAGACUAAAUCUACCACUAAUAAAUAUUUACUGCUAGCGUGCAAAUCCCUGUCUAGCAGUGACACAGUUACAGUGCAAGGGGUUUGCAAUAUAAGCAUGGCAUACAAUUUAGGUCUCUCAACUGAAUUGCUUUUAAAAUGUGCACUCUGCUAAAAUCUCAAUAUAGAUCUUUGCAUCAGAUAAUGAAGGAAUUGGGAAACAACCAUUAAAGAAAGAAAGAAAAAACCCCAAACAUUCUGAGAAAGGUAUUUUUUUAAAAUAUAUUUUCUUUCACUGUCCUUAUCAUUGUUAAAUAAAUGAGCAAAACAAGCAAGUAUGCCCUUAAUUACAACCUUCACUGAUUCAGACUGGCUUAGUUGAUUGACCAGCCAAUUAAAGCCUGUAGCAGUAGACAAGCAUGAAAGCAAAUGGCAUGGUGGGAUAAACAGAAACUCUGCAUAAGCAGCAGAUACUAAAUGAUGAUGCCAAAAAUUUGCUUAAUAAAUAAAUAAUGCUCUUAAAAACUUUUUUUAUCCUGUAAAUACAUUACAUACUUGAAAGAUCCUGCAAAUGCAAUGAGUUUCACAUUUUUAAUUGGCCUUAAUCUAGGCAGUAUUAUGUAUCUUUAAUUAUGAAAAUUCGGUGUAUUUUCAUAUUGGAUGCCGAUGAGAAUUGCACGCCCCAAUUCCUCACAUCAAUGGAUCUUGUAGGUAAAAAUUGUUGGUGCCAAAGUAAGGUAAACACAUACUGCAUUAUGACAUAACCAUUUAUAAUAAGAGACUAUGGGGACAAGUAGUGCAUAAAUCAUCCAAAUAAAUAAAUACCUAACUUGUUCCUGAAACAGAGCUCGCUCCAUUCAAUGAGAGCAUCUCUUCUUUUUUUAAAUUGAGACAAAGCAUUAUUAUAGGCAGAUCACAAACUUUGAAACAAAAGUUUGUAAAAAUAGGCACUUUGAUUUCUGUUGUUCUUGUUUAAUCUGGAAAGCAGUCUAGUUUGUACAGGUAAAAUUGAGAACAAUUUCCACUUGAAAUCAUUUCAGCUAGCAGGACUUUGGCUUAAAUGAUCCAGUGCCAUCACAGUCUGCUGCCCAUUUAAGUUUCAGCCAAACACCCACUUGCAUACACUUGAGUAUCAAACUUCUUUGUGCAUCAGAUUACGGCAUACUGUUUUUUCAGUGAAAGCCAAGUUUGGUUGCACGCAACACAAGCAAGUUUGGGUGAGCACACAAAUGCCAAUUUUUAUUUUUAUGACUUCAAAAAUGGGACAAAUUGGGGGCCAAACAGGACAGGGGGCUCUGUACCGCCAAAAUGGUACUGUUCCUUUUUUAAAGGGAAGGGGUGGCAACCCUAGUUCCAAUGCAACUGAGCUGCUACUUCUUAUACAAAAUACCGGGGAUGCCAAUUGUUAUACAAGUUACCAUGUAAAUAUUAUAGAUGUAUUUUAAUUUGGACACACUAGCUUUUCAGACUUUAAAAUAAUGGCUUGAAUGAAUUUAAACUGUGAUAAAAAUUCCAGAUAUUGUGAAAACUGAAAUAUGGAAAGUGAAUUCAAAUUAAUUUGUGAACUAAACAUGAUGCAUGAAAAGAGCCGACAGACUGAACAUAUUUUAGCAAGACUAAUGCUUGGUUAAAUAAUGGAGUGGCUUUGAGCCAUAUCACAAAAUGACUCACAGACAUGCAAAUGGGCGUCCCCAAGUUUACAAACGUGCAAGCUAAGGCUCAAGAAUAUAAAAUCCUCUCUUAUGGCUGUGGGGUGAAACAGUGCUAGUGUUGCACAAGAAAGCCCACAAACCUUUGAUUUGUAGCCGUAGUCUCACCCAAAUGUGUUAUCUAAUAUCCAACUGCACAGUCACUAUCAAAUGUACCAUAAAAAAGAUUUUUAUAUAUAAUUUUUUUAUGUGUUAAAGAUCCCCCACGCCAGGAAAUGUAAAGCUUUUUUUCUAUUUAAAGUGUGCUAUACAAGUUGAAAGAGUAAGCUGUUAAUCAUAUAAACAAGUCGUGCAAAAUUCCAAAUGCAUGUACACAUUUAUAAACUCAAAGCAUGAUGAAGACCCUCACCCAAGAGUCCAAAACUCAAUUAGAAUUGUUGCAACUUCCUGAAAUCACAGCAUUUUUUAACUCUUUGGAGGGUUGAAGAACUUUGAAUAAUUAAUACAGAGACUGUAACAAGACAGCCACACAAAGGACCUCUCACAACAAAGGACACCCAAAAUGUCACCAGCGUUAUCACAAAAUCAAAUCAGUGCUACUAUUAACAUAUGCCAUUCAGCUCAGUUUACAAGCUUGCUAAACUGCAAUAGUUCCACUGAUGUCACUAACAUCCAAAUCUUGACAGGACCAUUACUACCCAAAGGAGGUAUUUACAUGCCCAAAGUACGUUCUGCAUGAGCAUCUAUGGAAAUGUGAUUACAGCUGUAAAUCACAGGAGGUUUGGAAAUUCGUUUUUUUAAAAAAACGGGGGGGGGGGGAGGAGAAGCAGCAGCUUUGAUAAUUCCUAUACACCUCAAGAAAGAAAAUGUAAAAAGGCAGGGGGAAGGGUGUAUGAAAACACCAGGCUUCAAACAAGAAGCUGUGAUUAGAUAUCAGAGGUUUUCCUAUUAUUAUGUUAUCUGAACAUGCCAGAAUGCAGAUAUAAGCAUUUCAGUGCAUGAGAAAAUAUGAGCAAAAACUGAGCUGUCAACUUUUAAAGAUGCCAACUGAUUAGACAGAAGCUCUAUUCAAAUGUCAUCAAUUUUACCCUGUGCAAUUAAAUGCAUUUCUAAACCUAUGAGAGUUUUAUCAGCAGGAGCUUGCAGAGAGGAAGACUAAAUUUAAGCAAAUGUUACUUUAACAAAAAUGAACGGUUCAGCCACAUGUGUUUACAAUGGUAUUCAAGACCAAUUAAAUGUCAUUUAUCAUUCCAAAUGAUACUGCUCCUUUUUGACAAUGGGAAAUCUGAUCACAGAUCUGCCAUGUAAUGUGUAGUUUAGCCUUCCUGGGAAGCCAAAUCCCAUGACAAAUAUUUCAGUGCUGUUUAAUUAUUAUUUCUGUCUAUCCUGGUGAGGGGAGAAACGACUACAUUGGCAUUUUUAUUAUCUCCUAUUCUUAGCUCAAGCAAGUCUGAAAUAUCUGUGAAGACUGCACUGUUGGUUUAUCGAUGAGAAACAAUGCACAGCCAAUAGAUUAUUUUGCCCUUUACAAUCAUGCAUCUUGGCUCUGAAUAUUGGAAGGCUUGUUCCCUGCCUUGCUAGACUUUUCCCACCUGGCCUGGGAGGGUGGGGCCCUGACUGACUCCAGCUACAAAACCUGAGGCUGCUGAACAGAAUUCUUGGCUUGGGUAUUGUUUGGGCAGGGGAUUGUUGCUGUUAAUUUUUUGUGUCUUUAUGUCGGCUCUUACAUUGUUCAAUUUGGUUGUGUACUUUUUGAUGUUUUUGUCUACUGUUUAUGACUACUUUUGUUAUGUUUGGAGUUACAUAAUUUUCCAUAAGCUGCCUUCUGCCUUGAGCAUGGAUUAAACUUUGGAAAGGUGGCAUACAAAUAAAAUGACUGAUUGAUUGAUGUA